CCACCCGUCAAAAAAAUGGGGUGGCACGCCGAACGCUAGUUAGGGUUUUGAAAAGAGAGGGUCACGCCCAAUUCUAAAAAAGGGAGGUGCCAUAACCUUAAUUGUUCUAAAAGUUAUUCCAAUAAACCUUAAUUGUCUUUUAUGCUUUCCAAAACCCUUGUUUGAGUGAUAUUGCCUAAAGAAACUUCCGAAUUCAGAAAAUUCAGCAAGACCAGUGCGAUUAGAGUACGUCAUCAGUCAGAAAACCGGGAGUGAGGUGUAUUGAGUCCUAUGGGAUUGACCCUAGGCACAUUUGAGUAAGUCUUCCCAAUCAUUAGCUUUUGUUUUUCAGUCAUAUUUGCAUAUUAUCUUCAAUUUUCAUGAAUAUUAUUGGUACUUAAUUUGUUAGUGAAAGCUUCGUAUUCAUUUCUAGCUUGUGUCUAUUCAAUUUGUCAGUAGGAGCAAAGGUCCUAAGUUGUAUUUAGCGUUUUAAUUUUCGUUUAUAGCAAUGUAUUAUUACACUUGUAAGUGAAAUUCAGAUUUAUUUUCAUUGCCACAUAGCCACUUCUUUCAUUGGUAUUAGAGAUUUCAUAUUUAGCAUAGUUUGGAAGUUUUUCUUUUAUUUUUAAGUCAAGAAAUAUAGCAGGCAAAAAUUUUAUGGCUAAGCUUAUUAUGUCUAAAAUAUUUGACAGGAAGAACUAUGUUAGUUGUUAGAGAAAAAUUGGCUAUGUCCUCUUCGAGGAGGGAUUUAGCCAAAUGCUUACUAAGAGCCCCCCACCUAUACCAAGAGAGAAUGUUUAUGAAAGACAAUCUAUACUGGAAUCUUAUGCUCAUUGGAGGCCAAAAACACCCUCGCAAUGGAUCUCACCUCAUGGCCAUGAAUAAUUUGCAUGCCCUCGAGCUCUUGCAGGCUGUAAAAGAAGUUCCUGAGAAACUCGAGGCUGAUUAUUUAACUCCUUCCCGCACAAGAAAGACACUUGCUAUGAAGCAGUAUCGGGAUCUAAAAAUGAAUGGAGGAAAAUUAGCCAAACACAUCCAGUAGCUUAGAUUCUAGUACGUGAACUUGAGGUUGCACAUAUAAAGCCAGAUGAAAAUAUGCAAGUGUGCCACUUGCUGAAUUCUAUGCCAAGCUCAUGUGAAGCCUUUAUUUCAGCCCUCACUGCACAAUAGGGUUGGCCCUAGCCCUAACUUGCUCCCCUGAGAGCUGGCCUAGGUCUAGCCAUGGCCCUAUCAUGGCCGGGCCGGCCUAAACAAGUAAAAUUAAAUAAAAUUAAAGGAGAAAAGAUUAAAAAAUAAGGGCCAAGACCGGCCGAACCUUGCCUUGGGGCCACUUGGCCCAUUGCCACUCCUACUGCCACUCGGCCCAUUGCCACACCUACUGCACAAGAAAGCACACUGAAGCUGGACGAUAAAAUCACCAAGCUCAAAGCUAAAGAACAAAGGCGGAUGACUCGUGAUACUCUUGCUGUGAAUGAAUCCGUGAACUUUUGGUAAAUCUAAAACCCAACUCUAGUUCGUUCAAGAAAAAGAAGGGCAAGGGCAAGAAUAAGAAUAAGAAUAAUGAGAAUCAAAAGGGGGACAACGUGCCUAAGAAAAAGAGGGACUUAAAGAAUAGCCAGUGCUAUAAUGCAAAAAAUUUGGGCACAUAGCGAAAUACUGCAAAGCAACAAAUAUGAAAAUCCCAAGGGCGAUAGGGAGCAUGCUUGUGUAGUCCAUGAGACUUUGCUAGUGACCCUAAGGAAGAAGGGUCAUGGUGUUUCGACUCAAGUCCACUUCAGAAACUUUCAAGCCUGUUGCUCAUGGGGAUGAGCAUAUCUUUAUGGGUGGGAAUUAGAAAACUGAGAUUUGGGUAUUGGAGAUUAUGUCUUUAAAUUGAAAACUUGAAAGAGCAUGGUCCUAAAGCAAACACUUUAUACUCCUGGUAUGAGGAAAGGUUUGGUUUCGGUCGUGAGAUUGGGUACAGUUGGAUACUCAAUCAUUUUUACUGGCAAUAAGGCGGAGUUGAAAUUUGGGGAUGAAAUGGUUAUGAAUGGUCUUCUUGUAGACGGUUUCUUUUCAAUUGCAAUAAAGAAUUCCAUUUCUUAUGUCUUGUGUUAUAAUGAUGAUGAUGCAUAUUAUGGGAUAUGAGAUUGGGGCACAUAAAUCAUAAGAGAAUGGAGAUAUUAAAGAAAUAGGGAUUAUUAAAAAAUCUAAAUGGAGACUUAACCAGAGUUUGUGAAUCUUGUGCUAAAGGAAAGAUGUAAAGAAAUCAUUUUGAAAGCUUAGAGAGCUACUAGAAUUUUGAAGUUGUCCAUGGUAAAAAGAUGUACUUUAUUACUUUCAUUGAUGACCAAUCCCGUUUAGGCCAUGUGUUCAUGUUAUGGGAAAAGUCAGAAGCCCUAGACUGUCUCAAAGAAUACAAAGCUAGGGUAAAGACCCAAACAAGCUAGAAAAUUAAAGUGCUUAGAUACGAUAAGGGUGGAUAGUGUUCCUUGUAAUUAUUUAAAUUUUGAGCGUAGUAUUAUAUACCAAUAAACUAUGAUGUACUCUACUUAGGAAAAUGGGGUAGUCGAGAGAUAGAAUAGGACCUUGGUGGAAAUGGUGAGGAGCAUGAUGGGACAUGCUACUCUGUCCCUAGAUUUAUCAGGAGAAAUAGUUUUGACCGCGGUGUGUGGAUGCUCUACCCAUGUCAUAAUACCCCAUCAAAAUAGGACAAAAUUAGAACUCAAAAUUGUUAAGUCUAUCUUCAUAGGAUACUAGUUUUACCUAUCACAUUGUAAGGGAUAAUAGUUUUACAAUCUUGACACAGGGGCUGUCCUAGAAAGUAAGGAUGCCCAUUUCCUUGAAGAGUUCCUUGAGAGUUAUGACACUUGUAAACAAGUUGACUUUUAUGUGAUAGUAAAUGACACGUGUCAGGCCCAGGAUCUCGAACAACCUCGUCCUAAGAGAAGUAGCGAAAUUUGGAGAAAAUUUGAAUUCUCCACCUAGCUAGGAGAAUAUUAGGAAAGGAUUGAAGAAGAAUCCCUACAUGAACCUUGUUCCUAUGAAGAAGCCAUAAACUAUCAUGAAAAGGCUAAGUGGGAAGAAGUGAUGAUUGAUGAAUUAAACUCAAUCAAACAAAAUCAUGUUUUAGUAGUGAACUUACCUCUUGAUAGAAAAUCCAUCAGAUGUACAUGGAUCUAUUGAAAGGAAUUGAAUUAAGUGGAUCUAUUAAAAGGAAUUGAAUUCGGAAGGGAAAUUAGAAAAAUACUAAGGUAGAUCAGUAGCUAAGGGGUUUACCUCGAAAGAAGGAAUAAAUUAUGAUGAGACCUUCGCCCCUGUAGCUAAGUUCCCCUCCAGUAGGAUCCUAUAGCAGUCCAUUGCGACUUCGAACUCCACCAAAUGGAUGUUAAGGCUGCAUUUCAAAAUAGGGAGCUAGAAGAAGAAAUUUACAUGAAACAACUAGAGGGCUUCAUAGAAAAGGGAAAAGAAAACCUAGUAUGUAAACUUGAGAAAUCCCUUUACGGCCUUAAAGCAGCAUCAAGGAAUUGAUAUAUUAAUUUUUAAGAGACCUUAUUGAAAGUUGGCUUUGUGCCUAACCAGGAGAAUUAUGUCAAGGUCAGUAGAAGUGAUGUUGUAUUUAACUACUUGUAUGUGGAUGGCAUGUUAUUUGCCAGUAAUUCGAUGAGUAUCGUAUUGAGAACAAAACCUUUCUUCUCAUAAGAUUUCGAUAUGAAAGAUAUUGGAGAGGCAUCAUAUAUUUUGGGAAUCAAGAUCCUUAGAAAUAGGAGAGAGGGAACAUUUAGUUAUCUCAAGAGAGCACUAUAAGAAAAUACUGGAAGUAUUUGAAAUGAAUAAUUGUCGGCCCAUAUUAGCCCCCCCAUUGAUAGCAAGACCAAGUUAAAUCUAUACUUGUGUCCCAUAAGUUCAAAAGAAAAAGGGGACAUGCAAAGAAUCCUAUACAGAAGUGUAGUUGGGUCAUUAAUGUAAGCUAUCUUAGGGACAAGAGCAGACUUAUCAGUUGCUAUGAGUGUGAUUAGCAGGUUCCAGAGUAUUUUGGGCAUGGAGCACUAGAAGGCAAUUUAAAAAGUUCUGUGAAAUUCAAAGGGAAUGGUUCUUCAUACAUUCACCUAUGGAAGAUGCUCAAACAUACAAACACAAGGAUAUUCAGACAUAGACUAUCAGGGCGAUCUAGAUGAGAUGAAAUCCACAUCUGGGAUGUAUCUUCAUACUUGCCAAUGGAGCUGUUUGCUAGUUAUCUAAGAAACAGGAUGUUGUUGCACUCUUGACUAUGGAAUCAGAUAUGUAGCUUGUUGUACAGUAGAAAAAGAAGCAGUUUGGUUGAAGAAGUGAAUCAACUUAGAUUUGAUCUAAUAAAGCACCAUGUGUAAGAAUCAUCUGUGACAACUAGGCGGCGGUUUGUGUGGCCGAAGAUCCAUAAUUUCAUAAGAAAUCAAGGCAUAUUAAGGCAGACUACUACCACAUUCACUACGAGAUCCUAGCAGGAGAGAUCGAGGUUGUUUAUCCCCUGAAAGAGGCUAUGUUAACAGAUCCUUUGACAAAAGGAUUGUUGGCAAAUGUAUUUGCCAAGCAUGUACAUGGGAUGGGCUUGAAAAAGAUUCAGAGGGAGUGAUUGCAUAGCCUUUAAAGGCUAAGUCGGAGAUGUUGGGGUUUUGUGGCCUUUAGACUGUGAAAGCUUGUAAAAAGUGGAUUGUACACUUCAGUGAGAGUGUGUGUUGGUUGAGUGACCAAGGGUUUGGCGGUGUAUGUCCAUGGUCAUGUCUAAAACCCUAACCCCUUGUGCAUGGGGCACUACCGAAAAGGGUUUACAGAGGGACAUCCCUUGUUGAGGUUGGAGAGAUACCCAGGGAUGGAUUGUAGGCCAAGAGAGCUGUGUGGUCUCCAUUGUGUAGAUGUAGGUUUGUGAGUGCGAGGGCUAAAUCCUCAAUAAACUUCCGCACGAUAUGUACAUAUGUCAGCCACUCUACCUCGAAGCAAAGGGGUUACAUAUACAUGUUCAUGAAGAGUCCCUUUUGCACUGUAGUAAUAUGUGCUUGACUUGCUCUUAAGGGGGGGAACAUGUAAUCCAUAUUUCUGGACCAUGGUUCUACUGUUUAUUGGGCAGCUUUGAUGAGCCAAUCAUGAACCCCUAUAUGAAACUGUGGGUCAUGGGUCUCGUUGGGUUGGUUUGAGAAGGCAGUCUUGGAUCAUAGUUCCUGGGUCGAGUGGAAUGCCUUGAUAGUCACUUAUCUUGACCCACUAGUACUAACCCAGUUCUAGGUAUUUUAUUUUCAAUGUUAAAAAUAUGUUCGUGAACUUUGGAAGUUUUUCGGAAUUUUUGAAAUUAUUUCCAGCAGUUAAAUACUAAAAAGGGUGUUUCUAAAAUUUUAAUUGUGUGGAGGGGAACAUAUGGGGCCCUUGGAUCUAGCCCCCACAUGUGUGCAACAACCCAUGGGUGGGGCAUGGUGCCACACCUCACUCAUGAGGUGGCACGCCCCCCUUUAUAUUUUUUUCAUAUUAUUUUUUGUUUAAAAAUAUUGGGUAGUUAAAUGAAAUAACUUUUGAAAGGAUAUUGUGUCCUUAUUUUGUGGGAGGUGGUUUUUGAUAACUUGUUUGACCAAAAUAUUUUAUUGUUAGACUUCGUACAAUUUGAAAAGAGAUAAAAGGAGGUUCUAGAAGGUUAUGGAUUGGUCUUAUCUAGUCUGACUAGAAGUGGAUAUGGGUCACAUAUUUAAGGGAUAAGGUUAUUAAUAUUCCUCCCUAAAUCAUGAUAGUUGAUUUAUGUGAUGGAUGAAGUUGAUUUAUGUGAUGGAUGAGUCAAAUUUAAUUCUCAGGGAUAAGGUUCGUAGCAUUCUUCUUUAAAUCAUGAUAGCUGAUUUAUGAGAUGCAUGAGUCAAAUUUAAUUCUCUCUCGCGUCAGAGAUUUCCUAAAAUCCUAGUGGUUCUGAUGAGUCAUAAUUGGAGAAGUAAUACCUUGGGGGGGGGGGGUUUGAGGCCUAUGUAAGGAGGGGAUCCCCUUCAUUCUCUACACAAUUCCCAAGCCUCUAUCUCUCUUGAUUUCUCUCUCAUCCAGAUCCCACUCUCCCCUUUCAUCUCAUCUCUCUAGCUCUCUCUCUUCUCUGUCUCUAGGUGGCAAGCCACCCAUAAGAACAAGGGGCGGUACGCAUGCCCAGUCUUAGAAAAGGGUGGUGUCUUGUGGCAUAUGCCUUAAUUGUUUUAAAAGGGGUGCCAUUAAACCCUAAAUGUAUUUUAUGCUCUCUAAAACCCUAGUUUGAGAGUUAUUGCCUAAGGAAGCUUCUUAGCUCAAAAAAUUCAGCAAGACCAAUAAGAUUAGAGUGCGCCAUCAGUAAGAAAAUUGGGUGUGUGGUGUACUAAAUUCUAUGGGGGUGACCCUAGGCAUAUUCGAUCAAGUCUUCCCAGCUGUUUGCUUUUAUUUUUCAUUCCUAUUUGCACUUUUAUUUUUCAUUCAUAUUUGCAUAUUUUCUUGAAUUCUCAGGAACAUUAUUUGUACCAAAUUUGUUAAUGGAAAUUUAGUAUUCAUUCCUGGAUUGUGUCUAUUCAAUUUGGCAGUAAAAGCAAAGGUCCUAGGUUGCAUUUAGGGUUUUAAUUGUCAUUUACAACGAUGUAUUGUGGCACUUGUAAGUGGAAUUCAAAUUUAUUUUCAUAGCCUUGAGUUUCACAUUGCUACUUCUUUAGGAACCUCAAAUAUUGAGAUUUUAUCAUGAAUGUAUACUUGACUAGCUAGGAACAAAAAUAGUGAAUACCAAUCAUAAUUAGUGUCAGAAAAUAAAGUAGAAAAGCGCAAAAACCUUAAGAAGACACAAGACACUUAGUUCAGCUCAUAGGGACUGCGUCUGUAGGCAUGAAAAUAGGAUUGUGAGAGUUACAUCACUAAUCUUGGGGCAUAAAAGUAACUCUCUACUCCUUCCCUAUCCAACAUCCAUUUUAAACAACUCUCCCAAGCAGCAACACCACCGAUCACUCAUCUCUUUCGUACUGUUAAACAGCUACCUUUGAGUACUAGACAUCGAGGCAUGGGCAAUGAGAAACUAACUUUUUUUAAAGGGAGAUACUGUCCAAAACCUCAUUGGGAAAUUCUUCUCUACGAUGAAGCAGUAUGUCUUGCAACAAGAGUCACCAUCACAUUGUUUCUAUCUAUCUGAAGCUUCGCUUGUCUCUUUUUUGAAUGCCCCACCUUUAUGCAAGUAACCCCUACCUCUCUAUUGGAAACCCCCCUUUCCCACUUGGUGAUCCCAACUAGGGCACACAUUUCAUCUCUCAUCUCUUACUUGUAUGGAAACAAUCUGAAGGGAUGCACGUUGAAACUAGAGAGGAUACACGCCAUCUCUAGGUUCCCAAUGUGAUGGGAUCUAGCUUAUUAAAAUAAUCAAACCAAAUCCCUUUCAAUGAGGUAGUUCUUCGAAGCGGUGGUUUUGUCUAUCACUGCCUCCAACAACCUCCACCUUGAUCAAAAUCACUUACUUGCUGUGCUAACACCCAUCUCCUUCCUAUUGCUAAGCUACUGAGCACUAGUUGUUAGAGAUGCGAGAAGUAUGAGAAGCUUUCUCUCUCAUAAAGGGUUACUGCCCUGAAUAUCUCUCAGUAGGAGGUACUAGCACACUGCUUUUCUCCAUAGGAGACACUUCUUUUUCUCUACCGGCCCUGCCUCUAUGUGUUGGAUGCCCCUCUCUCUCCCUAGAAUGCACGUUUGUCUAUAUAUGAGAGAGAGAGAGAGAGAGAGAGAGAGAGAGAGAGAGAGAGAGUAGUUAGGAGACGACCACAUACGUAACCUUCCCUUCUACGUAAGUAACUCUCGUACGGACGUCUUCGUCGUUACGACGAAGGACGGUACCUCCUACCGUCCGNNNNNNNNNNNNNNNNNNNNUUCCGUUACCGUUCCGUUACCGUUCGUUACCGUACGUUCCGUACCGUUACCGUACGUUACGUACGUUACGUACGUACGUACGUACGUACGUAGUACGUAGUACGUAGUAGUAGUAGAGAGAGAGAGAGAGAGAGAGAGAGAGAGAGAGAGAGGAAGAGAGAGAUUUGGAGGAGCCACCCAUGAAACUCCCCUUUCUCAGUAAAUCUCUAGGACGCUUGCCUUUGACAAGAGGGACCUCACCUCGCCUGAAAAGUGGCAUUCAUUUCCCAUUUGGCCUUUUCUAAUAGAAAGCGGGGCAAAUUGGUUAUUGCCCCUUUAGAAAGCCCCAAGUGAUGGGGAAUAAGGGCAUGGGGUGAUGCUAUUGUGUAGAAUGAUGAUAGCUUGAAAUGUCUAAAUUUAGUUAAUUAUAAAACAUACUAUAUAUAAUUUAGUGAGCAAUAGAAAGUUUUAAUAAUGAUGAAUUUUAAUAGGAGUCAAUUGUAGUGCUUUCUUAAAAUGAAUUUUAUAGUUCCUUUAGUAAGGAGGUGGUUUGAAGCAAUUAUGUUCUUUGAUCAUAAAGAUGAAUUCAAACAAUUUACUUCUUUGAUUCAGGAGAUUUUAUUAUGUCAGAGUGCUACUCACAAUAUUUGGAUUUCUUGGAGGUUUCCUAGAGCUCUUAAUAUUUCCCCCAUCAAUUCAUAGCCUUGAAGGUUCCUGCAAAAUGAUUAAAUGGUUAAGACCCUGGUUGGUGUUUUGGCUUUGUUUGAGGGGCCUAUAUCCAAAUUUGGGAUUUUGGAUUAGAAUCCAUGGAAACUUAUCUAUUUAUAAUAAAAAAUAUAAAUUUACAAACUCAGAUGAUAUGGACCUUACUUUAUAGACAGAAUUGAGUCAAAUUUCAUAUUCAAAUCUAGAGAGCAUGCCCACACAUAUAAGCACAUGGAGGGGACAGAGUAAUACAGGAAUCAUGCUAACCAUAUGAUCGAUGUGACCAUCUACCCAUUCAGAUCUACCAAUGAGCCACUCUUAUGGCAUGUUCCUUUCUUUUCACUGGAUUGUCAAUUUUGUUAAUCUCUUCCAAGUUUUUUUCCUUUUUUUUUUGGAUAGAUCUUACAUCUAAAUAAAGAUGAUUUGAAACUUUUUGGUGAAAAAAAAUCCAAAACAUGUUCUACUCUUUAAGGAGUAGACUUCCAUUUAUUCCGUCAUGUAAAACCCCACCUAGGAUUAAUUUUAGGACCCUAAUGUUUGGGGAUAUAACCUCUUUAAAACAUAGAUUAAUCUAAACUGAAACAAAAUUCCUAAUUGCACCCUCUAAGCACAGGAAAAAAGUAAUGUCUCAAGAUUGAAUAGAAACUGGCUUACUUUUAUUGAAUAGAAACUGGCUUACUUUUAGAGGGUGAGAUCUAAGAGUUAGAAAAGUCAUUUUUUUUUUUUUUUUAGAAUAAUCAUGUAGUGAUUCCAAAGAAGUUACCAAAAUUGUUGAUUGAAAACUCCUCGCAAAUAGGUCAUCGGAUCGAGAGAGUUGAAGUAAACUAUGCUUCCAAAGGGAGCAGUAGUAUGAUCAAAACAAAAAAUUCCCCCUAAUUAGUUGUUUAUCCCUUGGCCUAAUUUCUAGAGUUGUAGGCACUUAAUAUGCGCACACGCAUGCGUACAGAGAGAGAGAGAGAGAGAGAGAGAGAGAGAUUACUUAUACUAAAUACUGAGUGAUGUAAGGUAAUUUGAAGAACAUCAAACAAGAUUAUCAUGCCAAACACAGGAGAAACGGGGCUUUUCUCCUCACGCCAAGCUAGGGUUCCGAAUGUCCAAAUUUUUAUUUCUCUUUCAAUUUCUGAAAAUCCCGUAGAAUAACCCCCUCUUAUAUAUUAUAAUAUAGUGCUCAAAGAUAUUAAAUAUCCAUACAAUAAUUAAAAUGGCCUAAAAUGUCCAUACAAUAAUUAAAAUGAUCCAAAAAAAUCAUAAUUUAAACACAUAGUUUGUAAUAACAAUUUUAUCCUUGUGAAUAGUAACCAGUGAAUAGGAACCUAUGAAUAGUACCCCAUGAUUAGUAACCAAUGAAUAUUAUAUAAAAAUAUAAAAAAAAUCUGAGAGUCUCCGAAAGAUUUAAAAACACUAAAAAUAAACUCUAAAAUUAAAAUUAAAAUAUCCACUUUUGAAAUUGAACAAAAUAAAAAAUAAGAAUAAUUUUUUCCUGUAUCAUUGAGGUCAAGGAAUGUACACUUACAAGGAAAUGAUUCUUGGAAAUGGUGCAUUGCUGCAAAUUAACACAUCCCAACUGUAUCCUUUAGGAAGGCAGGGGUCUCCUAACCAACCCUUCAAUGCAUAUUCUUUCUUGAUGUCCAUUAGAGCAUCAACUACAUGGUGUCAAAAAAAUUUAAUCAACUAAUUUUUUUCUCAAUAAGAAAAACAUGCAAAAAUCAUGUGGCCCUAGAGUAUACACCAUGAUUUGAAGAUGCAGUAUAUUGCAAGGGCCAGUUUGGAGCAACCAUUUUUUUUUUCCUUUUAAAUUUAAGGGAUGCAGAUAUAACAGGUCCUUUUCAUGAAAACAAGGCCGAAAAAGGGACUUCCUCAAAGUUAGCUAAGGCAUCCGUUUGUAUGCUUUUAUGUAAAUGAACAGGUUGCAUGGUGCAAAGAAAGUGGGACCUGCCAAUGUGCGUAGCCAUUUAUCAAUGGCUCCAAACAGCAGACUAAGUCGACACCAUCCUGCCGAUUGAUCCAAUGAUGGGCAAGGUGCUUCAACUGAAGCAACGGUGGCUAGCCGCACCUGAACAUUCCUCCUCAUUAUCAUGAAUAUCAUCGUUCAAGUGGAUUUAAGUUUAGGACCGAGCACUAUUAAGGGUCAUGUAUGACAAUUGUAGAUUAGAGAAAUGGAGUUACUGGUGAAUGAGUGAUAAAAGGGGGGAUUGUUCAUGAAUGAGGGACAAAAGGACAUUUUCCAACGUAGAGGAGAUAUUUACUUUCCCUUUUAAGCAGGGACGAGAAACGGGGUUUAUGCUGAAUAGCGAGAGCAGACAAAACAAUGCUUAAAAAUAUAGAUCAGGAAAGAGAAAUGACCCCUUUUUAAGUAAUUGGCACUAUUUUGCAAACCGGUCCUGUCAGCCCAGACCUGGCCACUGGCCGUGGCCGGUUUUGGUGGUCAACUGGCUUAACCACCCUUAUUUUAAAUUAAAUUCAAAAACAUUAUAAAAAAUUCAAAAAAAUAAGAAAUUUGUUUGUAAUAGAUUUGUUAAUGUUUUCUAUUGUUUCAAAAAAGAUUGGGAAGUAUUUUGGGCGUGAAUAUUUAUUUAUACAUUUUUCCAUCUUUUUUGGAUUAUUUCUAAAAUGCCCCAGGCCGCGAAUUGAUUUUUCAAAAUCUAUUGUUUUACUAACUUUUUUAAUCUCAUUUGGAUGUAUUUCGUUUAAUUAUAAUUUAAACAUACUUUUCAUAGAUUUUGGGAUCUUUUGAGAUUUUUUUUAGAUUUUUUUCAACCCUUUUUAGCCCGGUUGGGACUUGCCUUGUUGGGGCUGGCUACUGGACCGGUUCCGGACCAGGCCCAUGGCCGGUUAGUGCAAUCGAAAAUUGGUAAUUGGUGUCGCCUACUGACUCAUCAUAGUUGGAGGUGGGGUCAAAACUCUUGGUGAAAAAAUACCGGACCAGGACUCAAACUCACCAUGGUUUCUUUUCUUCAGGAUCCAGCUGACUUGGUCAGCCUGCGCCUGAGUCACUAGUUUCAAAGCACUAAUGGGAACUAUGACGGGGAUGGUAUGUGUGAGACAGAGAGAGUACCAUCUUGUUGGUAAGUUGCCAGCAGGGAGAGUGCAGAGACACUAUACAUCUCAAACGCAUUGAGAAUUGGAGGAUGGGUGGAUCUUCUCGUCUUGUUGAUGGAUACGCUAAGGCCAUUCCUCGAUGUAUAAAUACCGGUUGUGUAAAUGCUUAUCGUUGUCAAGUACCCUGGAUUCACAGGUUUGGCAUUCCAUGGGUCGUCUUUGCUCCUAUGUCCAUCAUCGAUGAAUAUGUUGAAUUCUCUCAACUCUGUCGUAUUUAGUACUUCUAACUCUGAGAAAUGGAAGGCGAAGUAAAAGUUCCAAUUGUACAACUGUUCUUCUGUCCAACCGAAAGAUAUGCUCGCAUUCAGAUCAGAGGGACGAACAGCAGUUUGCAUUACUGAGGAUGGCGGUUGGAAGGAAUUGGGAGACACAGAGUUAGAACUAUAAAUAGGAAACUGAUCCUUUAGAUGCGGGGUCCGCCAGCAGCGGUCGUACGGGUCCUUCUCAUACCUGCAUGUGUAGUUUAUCUUUGUUAAAGCUGGGGGCAUUUGAUCGAUAAAAUGAGUAUCUUUUCUUCUUCUCCAUUUUUUUUUUUUUCUUAUCUUUUUAUUUUUAAUAUUUAAUUUCUUUUUCAGGCAGAUGAGCAUGGAAGUCAAACCUAGAUUGUGGUUUAACACUGCAAUUAAUCAAGCCAGUUCCCCAAUCUUGGAUGGAAAAAAUGGUUCUCUUCAUUUUGAAUGAAACACUUGCAACUGAAGGGAAAGUAUGCUAUGCCACAUAUAUN
rnacentral:lncRNA from 1 species